UGUGGGCAUGAAGGAGAUGACAAUGGCAGAAUGGCGCUGCGGUUUGGUGAAUAUGACCGGAGAGCGACUGCUCUCGUUAAACUCACUGCACGAGUGAGUCGUUGAUGAGGAACUGAGCACCAAGCAUUCAGGCUGAGAAGAGCAAGAGAAAGAUGCUGAAAAAUGAAACACUCUUCCCCAUCUGUGAAGUGCAAUUGGAGUGUAGGUGUCCUGUGAUGAACUUGCCGUCAGCCUUCAUCUUAUGCAGCACACUUGGUGAGCUUUUCAAAUUCAGUUUGCCCUUGCUUGUACCACACGAUGGACGGUGAGGGAUUGCCGGAGGCCUGACAGUGGAAGGACACCGCUGACCCAAGAGGCACCAUCGUCAUUGCAGGUGAAACCGUGACAUUAGGGGGAACUUGAACAGAGACCAGACAAAACUGAGGGGUUUCAGUCUGAAUUACUUUCUUAAAACUAAAAAGACUCAAAUAGUCCUACUCAUACACCAUCCUGGAGGUGUUACUAAAUGUUUAGCAUGUUACUGUUCUUUUUUUCUCUGUUUCUCUGUUUAAAACUUUUAAAUAGAUUUUAAAACUUGUAAUAUUACGUACGUGAUAUAAUACCACUGUUGUAGAUAUUAUGUUUUCCCAUGCAGCUGCCUCCACUCAUUAAUAGAAAAGUUAGCCGUUUCUUUAAUUUAAUAGUUUAGACAAAUCCAUGAUUAAAGCACUAAUAGCUCAGCAAAUCAGGUUGUCAGUUCUAUUUUAAU